rnacentral:antisense_RNA from 1 species
UGUAGGAGUGAGCCUGCUCGCGAUAGCGGUGUGUCAGUCAACGAAUACUUGUCUGACUCACCGCUAUCGCGAGCAGGCUCACUCCUACA